GUGUAUUAGAUACCCUGGUAGUCCACACGGUAAACGAUGAAUGCUAGGUGUAGGAGGUAUCGACCCCUUCUGUGCCGCAGUUAACACAAUAAGCAUUCCGCCUGGGGAGUACGGUCGCAAGAUUAAAACUCAAAGGAAUUGACGGGGGCCCGCACAAGCAGCGGAGCAUGUGGUUUAAUUCGACGCAACGCGAAGAACCUUACCAGGUCUUGACAUCCAGUUAAAGCUGUUGAAAGAUAGUGUCCCUUCGGGGGAACUGAGACAGGUGGUGCACGGCCGUCGACAGCU
rnacentral:rRNA from 1 species